rnacentral:rRNA from 1 species
UACGGAGGAUCCAAGCGUUAUCCGGAAUCAUUGGGUUUAAAGGGUCCGUAGGCGGUUUAAUAAGUCAGUGGUGAAAGCCCAUCGCUCAACGGUGGAACGGCCAUUGAUACUGUUAAACUUGAAUUAUUAGGAAGUAACUAGAAUAUGUAGUGUAGCGGUGAAAUGCUUAGAGAUUACAUGGAAUACCAAGUGCGAAGGCAGGUUACUACUAAUGGAUUGACGCUGAUGGACGAAAGCGUGGGUAGCGAACAGG